CACAUGCAGUCGAACGAGAGAAGAGAAGCUUGCUUUUCUGAUCUAGUGGCGGACGGGUGAGUAACACGUGAGCAAUCUGCCUUUCAGAGGGGGAUACCGAUUGGAAACGAUCGUUAAUACCGCAUAAUAUAAUUGAACCGCAUGAUUUGAUUAUCAAAGAUUUAUCGCUGAAAGAUGAGCUCGCGUCUGAUUAGCUAGUUGGUAAGGUAACGGCUUACCAAGGCGACGAUCAGUAGCCGGACUGAGAGGUUGAUCGGCCACAUUGGGACUGAGACACGGCCCAGACUCCUACGGGAGGCAGCAGUGGGGAAUAUUGCACAAUGGAGGAAACUCUGAUGCAGCGAUGCCGCGUGAGGGAAGAAGGUUUUAGGAUUGUAAACCUCUGUCUUCAGGGACGAAAAAAGACGGUACCUGAGGAGGAAGCUCCGGCUAACUACGUGCCAGCAGCCGCGGUAAUACGUAGGGAGCGAGCGUUGUCCGGAAUUACUGGGUGUAAAGGGAGCGUAGGCGGGAUCGCAAGUCAGAUGUGAAAACUAUGGGCUUAACCCAUAAACUGCAUUUGAAACUGUGGUUCUUGAGUGAAGUAGAGGUAAGCGGAAUUCCUAGUGUAGCGGUGAAAUGCGUAGAUAUUAGGAGGAACAUCAGUGGCGAAGGCGGCUUACUGGGCUUUAACUGACGCUGAGGCUCGAAAGCGUGGGGAGCAAACAGGAUUAGAUACCCUGGUAGUCCACGCCGUAAACGAUGAUUACUAGGUGUGGGGGGACUGACCCCUUCCGUGCCGCAGCAA
rnacentral:rRNA from 1 species